rnacentral:piRNA from 1 species
CAUCUGUGCAGUGCAAGUGAUCCACGCCU